rnacentral:rRNA from 1 species
GACGAACGCUGGCGGCGUGCCUAAUACAUGCAAGUAGAACGCACAGUUUAUACCGUAGCUUGCUCCACCAUAGACUGUGAGUUGCGAACGGGUGAGUAACGCGUAGGUAACCUGCCUGGUAGCGGGGGAUAACUAUUGGAAACGAUAGCUAAUACCGCAUAAUAUUAAUUAUUGCAUGAUAAUUAAUUGAAAGGUGCAAUUGCACCACUACCAGAUGGACCUGCGUUGUAUUAGCUAGUAGGUGAGGUAACGGCUCACCUAGGCGACGAUACAUAGCCGACCGGAGAGGGUGAUCGGCCACACUGGGACUGAGACACGGCCCAGACUCCUACGGGAGGCAGCAGUAGGGAAUCUUCGGCAAUGGACGAAAGUCUGACCGAGCAACGCCGCGUGAGUGAAGAAGGUUUUCGGAUCGUAAAGCUCUGUCGUAAGAGAAGAACGGGUGUGAGAGUGGAAAGUUCACACUGUGACGGUAUCUUACCAGAAAGGGACGGCUAACUACGUG